UACGCAGGGGGCUAGCGUUGUUCGGAAUCACUGGGCGUAAAGCGCACGUAGGCGGAUUUUUAAGUCAGGGGUGAAAUCCCGGGGCUCAACCUCGGAACUGCCUUUGAUACUGGAGAUCUUGAGUCCGGAAGAGGUAAGUGGAACUGCGAGUGUAGAGGUGAAAUUCGUAGAUAUUCGCAAGAACACCAGUGGCGAAGGCGGCUUACUGGUCCGGAACUGACGCUGAGGUGCGAAAGCGUGGGGAGCAAACAGG
rnacentral:rRNA from 1 species